GGGGAAAGCCGGGGAAACAAAGAACAUGGCGUGGGGAGGAGGAGCCUGCGCCCCCCGCCCCCGCCGGGAAGGGCGCUUUGGGGGCGGACAAUGCCCGGCCCUGCCCGCCCCGGCCGCGGCGGCGGCGCCCGGGGGCGGCUCGGCUGGCCUCCCCCCGCCCCCUUUCCCCGCCCCUGUGGCAGGGCCCGGCGGGACGGGACGGGCUGGGCUGGGCUGGGCUGGGCUGGGCUGGGCAGGCGGCGGCGGCGGCGGCGGCCGCCGCAAGUUUCUUCCAGAGUGGGGAAAGUCGGGCGCGGCGCCGCGGCCCGGCGGGACCCGGGCAGAUUCCUGGAAAUCUGAGGAGCAGUCUUUGGAGGCCGAAGAAUGCAAUUCUCCCUGGAGGUGUGGGUAUCUUGCAUGAAAGGGACUGAAGUAGAAUCAGCUGGUAUCCAAGAAGCACAACCUCAAGACACUCAGGACACUCAUACUUUGGAGUGAACUGGUAGGAAGCCUUGCAGUACCACAGUGGCGAAAAUAGUGGCUGUCCUCUGGAGAUGCUGAAGCUCAGCUUUAUUUUGAACUUUGUUCUUACACCUCCCAGAUUGUGCACAAAGUACUUGAUUUGGAUUUGUAUCGUAUAAAAUAGCCAUGGGUAUGGGGGGGGGGGCGUUCCUUCGCUUUACUUGACAUCAACCUGUUUCUGGCAAUCAGUGAUAAUCUGUACUAGGUCUGCUGACCUUUGGUCUGUUUUCGAUAGCUCUGAGUGACAGGUACUGUAAACAUCCUACACUCUCAGCUGUGGAAACUAAGAAAGCUGGGAGAAGGCUGUUUACUCUCCCUGCCUUGGAAAUCAUCCGGAGGAAAAGGAUGGAAUAUUCUGAGCUCUGUGUUGAUUGUAUUUCUGACAACCUGUAUUUCAUAUUUUAUGUUAUAGUGUCAGUAAACAAAUAAUAGUAUUAUAUCAUGUCAUCAGUGUCUGGUGUUCUGACUGAGGGCGGAAGGGCCUUACAAUAUGAUUUAGCUGCACUGCUGGCUUGAGGGAAACCUAAAUAGUAGCAAUAAUACAUUACAAUACUUCCAUCCUUAAGCAGUGAUUAAAACAGUGUUGUGCUGUUUGUUCAUAGGUGGUGGUACAUACAAGUUACAGUGUAGACAUGCUCAGGUUGACACAUCAGUAGUGUAUUUAAUGAAAAUCAUCCUUAAAUAUUUGGUUCUUGUUUUCUAAGAUUCACUCAAUUCUGGUUUCCUACCAAAAAGGGCUAGAAAUAGAGGUCAGAAGGCAAAAAGGUUCUAGGGGACUUCAAAUUUUCAGUUUCUUUUCAAAGAAAUUCAGAGGUGUCAACACUGAUUAACUCCAUCUAUAAAUUAACUGAAUUAAAGAUACAAAGGUAUUUACCUUAUGUUCUCCACUUGCUGUUCCCUGCCAUUUGUCCCCCAGACUGUAUUAUUCUUUGUACUUUGUCCUGGCAACCUUCCUCUUCCUUGUUGUGUUUCUUUCAUUCUAUUUGCUGUUAGCCAAGUAGAGCUUCUCAUUUUAAAUGUAGAAUAAGCUGAAAAAAACCACCCUUUUAAAUCUAGUAGCCUGCUGGCAUGGUCUAAAUUCUCAUGAAGUGCAGUUUUUCAGCUCUUCUUAAGGAGGGACUUUGGCAGAAAGAAUAUUGUUCCCGUCUUUUUUCUUAUUUAUGGGAGAGGACACCUUUUGUGCUCUCUAAGAAAUGUUUUUUAGAAUACAGUUGAAUUCAAAGAUCACCUUCUAGCUCCUUUUGCAAUACCACUCUUAUGUCUUCAGAUCCUGCUGCUCUAUCUUUUUAGCAGAGGCAUUUAAAUAUAAAAUCUUUGAAAUAUAAGGCUGUUAAAAGAGUUUAAAUAUCAGGGUUUGGAAAGUGAUGGGAGUGGGAAGACAACAGGAGAAUGGUGAAAGAUGGUGUAUAGAUUUGAAGUAAUACUUGUACAAAAUGGACAAGAAAGAAUGCAAACUGUUCGGCAGUGCUAAAAAAGAAGUCAGUUAUUUGAAGCUAUAAUUAUUUUUCAGGCUCUGGCUUGCCUUCUUUUUGGAAAAAGGAAUUGGAGGGGAAGCCAGAGUCACAGGGCCUGUUAGAGUGCUGUAGCCAAGGAGUAAGUUGAUGAGUGAAAAGAAGGUUGAGGUCUGGUUAUGCAGUAACAAACACCAGAGCUUUGGGUUUGUGGGAUUUUUAACUCAUGAUUUGUGUAGCAAUUUCUAAGAAAAGCAGAGUUAGCUUCCUAAAAUGAUCAUUUUAAGGAGACAUUAGCUGUUCAGACUAGUCAAACGAUAGAGGGUAGCAUUUCCUAAUACACAUGGUUCCUUUGGCAGAGAGAUAUUUCCAAGGGUGACAGAGCACACAGUUACAUUCUCCAGUGCAUGACGGUACUGAUUGGAGGCUAUGCUGUUGAGGAAAGAUAACCUUCUGAAAGAGAUAACAUCCUGAAAUUUUGGAGUGUGGUGGUUUUUUUUAUAUUAUUCUUAUUUAGGUUUGCUUUAGGUUUGGAAUAAUUAUUUUGUGUCAAUUGAAGAAACUUCUCUAUGUUUAGUAUUACUUAUUUGGGCGUUUAAUAGUGAAAUUCCAUCUUCAUUUUUGUCAGUGUAAGUUGAGAGUGUUGGAGUCUUUCUCGUACAUCCUUCCUUGGCCACGCUUUCGUGCCCUUUUACUUGUGCUGACAUUAAUGUUUGUUUAAACUGCGAGCUAAUUCAGUGGCUUGACCUUGCUGAAAACUAAAUAAGCAAAACAGCUUUUAUGUGGAUCAGCUGAGUAAUGACUUACUCCACCACUUGCUGUGGCCAAAAAUGCUACUGAAAAUGCUAAUUCCUUCAAAUAUGGCCACUUCUCUGAAGAGCUAGAACACAGUUUAUUUUAAAUAGAUUAUGAAAUCCUAAAACAGUAAAAUGGUGAAAUUACAGGAUUUUUUAAUAUUUUCUGUGUUUUAUUUGAUGUUACAUUCUUCUGUUAAUGCUGUUUAAGUGCAGUUGCAAGCAUGGUGCUAAAAUAAAUUCAGUAAAAUAGUUUUAAUUAAAAUUUUUCAUUUUUUGGAUGCUGUU